rnacentral:rRNA from 1 species
UUAAGCGACUAAGCGUACACGGUGGAUGCCCUGGCAGUCAGAGGCGAUGAAGGACGUGCUAAUCUGCGAUAAGCGUCGGUAAGGUGAUAUGAACCGUUAUAACCGGCGAUUUCCGAAUGGGGAAACCCAGUGUGAUUCGUCACACUAUCAUUAACUGAAUCCAUAGGUUAAUGAGGCGAACCGGGGGAACUGAAACAUCUAAGUACCCCGAGGAAAAGAAAUCAACCGAGAUUCCCCCAGUAGCGGCGAGCGAACGGGGAGCAGCCCAGAGCCUGAAUCAGUGUGUGUGUUAGUGGAAGCGUCUGGAAAGGCGCGCGAUACAGGGUGACAGCCCCGUACACAAAAAUGCACAUGCUGUGAGCUCGAUGAGUAGGGCGGGACACGUGGUAUCCUGUCUGAAUAUGGGGGGACCAUCCUCCAAGGCUAAAUACUCCUGACUGACCGAUAGUGAACCAGUACCGUGAGGGAAAGGCGAAAAGAACCCCGGCGAGGGGAGUGAAAAAGAACCUGAAACCGUGUACGUACAAGCAGUGGGAGCACAGAGCAAUCUGUGUGACUGCGUACCUUUUGUAUAAUGGGUCAGCGACUUAUAUUCUGUAGCAAGGUUAACCGAAUAGGGGAGCCGAAGGGAAACCGAGUCUUAACUGGGCGUUAAGUUGCAGGGUAUAGACCCGAAACCCGGUGAUCUAGCCAUGGGCAGGUUGAAGGUUGGGUAACACUAACUGGAGGACCGAACCGACUAAUGUUGAAAAAUUAGCGGAUGACUUGUGGCUGGGGGUGAAAGGCCAAUCAAACCGGGAGAUAGCUGGUUCUCCCCGAAAGCUAUUUAGGUAGCGCCUCGUGAAUUCAUCUCCGGGGGUAGAGCACUGUUUCGGCAAGGGGGUCAUCCCGACUUACCAACCCGAUGCAAACUGCGAAUACCGGAGAAUGUUAUCACGGGAGACACACGGCGGGUGCUAACGUCCGUCGUGAAGAGGGAAACAACCCAGACCGCCAGCUAAGGUCCCAAAGUCAUGGUUAAGUGGGAAACGAUGUGGGAAGGCCCAGACAGCCAGGAUGUUGGCUUAGAAGCAGCCAUCAUUUAAAGAAAGCGUAAUAGCUCACUGGUCGAGUCGGCCUGCGCGGAAGAUGUAACGGGGCUAAACCAUGCACCGAAGCUGCGGCAGCGACGCUGAUGCGUUGUUGGGUAGGGGAGCGUUCUGUAAGCCUGCGAAGGUGUGCUGUGAGGCAUGCUGGAGGUAUCAGAAGUGCGAAUGCUGACAUAAGUAACGAUAAAGCGGGUGAAAAGCCCGCUCGCCGGAAGACCAAGGGUUCCUGUCCAACGUUAAUCGGGGCAGGGUGAGUCGACCCCUAAGGCGAGGCCGAAAGGCGUAGUCGAUGGGAAACAGGUUAAUAUUCCUGUACUUGGUGUUACUGCGAAGGGGGGACGGAGAAGGCUAUGUUGGCCGGGCGACGGUUGUCCCGGUUUAAGCGUGUAGGCUGGUUUUCCAGGCAAAUCCGGAAAAUCAAGGCUGAGGCGUGAUGACGAGGCACUACGGUGCUGAAGCAACAAAUGCCCUGCUUCCAGGAAAAGCCUCUAAGCAUCAGGUAACAUCAAAUCGUACCCCAAACCGACACAGGUGGUCAGGUAGAGAAUACCAAGGCGCUUGAGAGAACUCGGGUGAAGGAACUAGGCAAAAUGGUGCCGUAACUUCGGGAGAAGGCACGCUGAUAUGUAGGUGAAGUCCCUCGCGGAUGGAGCUGAAAUCAGUCGAAGAUACCAGCUGGCUGCAACUGUUUAUUAAAAACACAGCACUGUGCAAACACGAAAGUGGACGUAUACGGUGUGACGCCUGCCCGGUGCCGGAAGGUUAAUUGAUGGGGUCAGCGCAAGCGAAGCUCUUGAUCGAAGCCCCGGUAAACGGCGGCCGUAACUAUAACGGUCCUAAGGUAGCGAAAUUCCUUGUCGGGUAAGUUCCGACCUGCACGAAUGGCGUAAUGAUGGCCAGGCUGUCUCCACCCGAGACUCAGUGAAAUUGAACUCGCUGUGAAGAUGCAGUGUACCCGCGGCAAGACGGAAAGACCCCGUGAACCUUUACUAUAGCUUGACACUGAACAUUGAGCCUUGAUGUGUAGGAUAGGUGGGAGGCUUUGAAGUGUGGACGCCAGUCUGCAUGGAGCCGGCCUUGAAAUACCACCCUUUAAUGUUUGAUGUUCUAACGUUGACCCGUAAUCCGGGUUGCGGACAGUGUCUGGUGGGUAGUUUGACUGGGGCGGUCUCCUCCUAAAGAGUAACGGAGGAGCACGAAGGUUGGCUAAUCCUGGUCGGACAUCAGGAGGUUAGUGCAAUGGCAUAAGCCAGCUUGACUGCGAGCGUGACGGCGCGAGCAGGUGCGAAAGCAGGUCAUAGUGAUCCGGUGGUUCUGAAUGGAAGGGCCAUCGCUCAACGGAUAAAAGGUACUCCGGGGAUAACAGGCUGAUACCGCCCAAGAGUUCAUAUCGACGGCGGUGUUUGGCACCUCGAUGUCGGCUCAUCACAUCCUGGGGCUGAAGUAGGUCCCAAGGGUAUGGCUGUUCGCCAUUUAAAGUGGUACGCGAGCUGGGUUUAGAACGUCGUGAGACAGUUCGGUCCCUAUCUGCCGUGGGCGCUGGAGAAUUGAGGGGGGCUGCUCCUAGUACGAGAGGACCGGAGUGGACGCAUCACUGGGUGUUCGGGUUGUCAUGCCAAUGGCACUGCCCGGUAGCUAAAUGCGGAAGAGAUAAGUGCUGAAAAGCAUCUAAGCACGAAACUUGCCCCGAGAUGAGUUCUCCCUGACUCCUUGAGAGUCCUGAAGGAACGUUGAAGACGACGACGUUGAUAGGCCGGGUGUGUAAGCGCAGCGAUGCGUUGAGCUAACCGGUACUAAUGAACCGUGAGGCUUAACCUU